rnacentral:misc_RNA from 1 species
UAUACACAGGCCAUACACUUACAACAAAGAUUUAAUUUUUGAGACGUUCCUUUUAUGAGUUUCAGUAUUUCAUUUUUCAUGUUAAGACAAAAAGUGUUUCAAUGGUUUUGUCGUUUUUAGAUAAUACGGAUUCAUAGACACAUCUAAAAUUUAAGUGGUGCGCUCUACUACAAGUACAAGAACGAACUUUUUGACUUGCUUAAGUUCCGGGAAGAACUAUAUUAUUCUGAACAAUGCUCGUUGUGAUCAUUCUUGUAGCUAGUGGGAUUUUCAAUUCCACAUUUUCUCGCCCGUCUUGUCAAAGUGCUUUUGAUUAUGAGCGUCACGUGCUAAGAAAACUAGUCGAGUUUAUGGAUGCAAUAUCCACUACUAAAGAUGACAUUGAAGGUACAGAGUCUAGUGAUACAACCUGUCCAGACAUGUGGGUGCCUUUCCAAGGGUCAUGUUACCUCUUCGCAAAUCAAAGUGUUAUUUAUUCAGAAGCAGAGCGAUUUUGCCAACAGCACGAAUCCCACUUGGUGCAUGUGGACAAUGUACAUGAAAACAAUUUUCUUCAAGACAUGAUGCGCAAUCGCUUGAGAGAAAACAUUUGGUGGAGUGGGCUUACGGACAGGGAAAUCGAAGGUAAAUGGCGAUGGGUGGAUACAGAUAAAUCUCCAGAUUUUACAGACUGGUAUCCAGGAGAGCCAAACGGUGCCAGAAAUGAAAACUGUGGUGUAUUCCGGGCCCUGUUUUCAUUUCAUUGGGGAGAUUUUGGCUGCACCAAGAAUGGAGUAGCAAUCUGCGAAAAGUGGUAAAGUAACCAAAUGAAAACCAUAUCAAGACGUGCGAUUUGUUUUCUUCACAUCUAUCAUAUAUUUUAUGGAAGGACAUUGUCAUUUGACGGAAACAUCUCUUCUUCGGAGAAAGCGGCCACGAACAUGUUUUACAUUAAAAUAAAUAUAAUGUCUUACGUAAAGUAACUUUCAAUUGUAAUUAUAAAUAAACUCACUGUUUGGCCCAUGUUUUCUCCUGGUUUCUCUUCAUAAGCAAAUACUCAUAUUAUUUAUUAUUCUAAAUAAUUCAAAGGAUGACAAUACAAAGAUUUAAAACAAGUCUUAAUUUUUUACAUAUAGAGUUCAAAUCGAAUCCGAUAGUGUAUUUUUUCCAUUCUGAAUUUCCGACAUUACCACGAAGGUUAAUUUUCGAUGUUGAAUUUAGUUGUCGAUUGAUUGUCAUGUAUACCUCUUGCAUAUAAAAUAUGAGGAAAAUAUUUCUACCAUAGACAUUGAUAUUAUUAAAGACUUACUGAAAUUCAAAAUGGCCCUAUUACCAGUCCACCCAAAGAUUUUUUACUUAGAUCUUGCAAACUAAAGCUGCAAUUAACAUUAUUCAUGUUACGUCUUUAUUAUGUUAAAUUCAAAACAGUUCCAAAUAAUUCCUUUCCUUUACUAUUACACGUUAUAUUCAAAAUUUCCAAAUAAUUCAUUUCUUUUACUAAAACAUGUUAUAUUCAAAAUUUCCAAACAAUUCAUUUCCUUUAUUAAAACAUCCUAUAUUCAAAAUUUUCAAAUAAUAUUACAAACAAUUGAAUUUCAUGUAUGAUAUCAUGUAAUUAAAUGUAUGGAUUAUUAUGGUAAUGUAGUCAUAGUAAACAUAAACUGUAUAUUAAU